GCACUGGUUUAGCUCAGAGUUUACUUCUGUUUAUCAAUUCUCUCUGGAGAUUACGAUGCUCACUCUCGUCACACGGGAUCAAACCUCGGGCGCUGUCCAGUGUUUUU
ensembl:vault_RNA Vault Vault RNA